AUUGUUUUUAAGUUUAUGCGAGAAUAAUAUUUAUUGCUUUAAGAUAAAUAACAAAAAUGAAAAAGAGAUACAAAAUAUAUAUAACGCUAUGUACCCAACAUGUGUACUAGAAUCAUGUAUAGAUAUGGAUGAUAUAAAAGAAAGUUAUAAUAAAAAAUAUGCAAAUAAAAAUUGUAUAUCUUUAUUUAGCUCAAUAAGAUAUAUAUACUAUGAUCAAGGAAAUUUAUUUUUGUCAACGGAUGAUAAUAAUAUACACCAUUAUAUUUUAGUUUUUAAUAGUCCAACGAAAUGUGUUUAUAAUAAGGAAAAUAUAAGAGAAAACUAUUCUUAUGACAAAAAUACAGAAAAAGAUAUUUUUAUAUAUAACGACGAUGAUGAUGAUGAUGAUAAUGAUUAUGACGAUUGUGAUGAUGAUUAUGACAAUUGUGAUGAUUAUACAGGUAAAAAAAAAAAUAGAUAUUCUUAUAGCUAUAACUGGGUUUAUUUAAAAAAGCAAAAAAUAUGGAGGAGUGAUAACAUAGUUGUAACAAAUUUUUAUCUACAUGAGACAAAUUUUAAAACAUUACUUGUCGGUUACAUAAACGGAUUAAUCGGUGUUUAUAAUAUAGAAAGUUAUAAAUUAAAGCUAUCAUAUAAAAUACAUAAUAGUAGAAUUACGAACUUAAAAAUGUAUAAAAAUUUUAUCUUCAGCUCAGAUAUAAGUAAAAAUAUUUUUAUUUAUGAUACUAUGACAAAUCAAAAAAUUAUAUCAUAUGAGGAUCACAUGAGUGGCAUUAUAGAUAUGAUGUUUUUAACCGUCCCUGCCGAUGAUAGCAAAAAAGAGGUAGACGUAAAAAGAAACUUACGAAAAGACCCACACGAUGACGUACACGAAGACCUACACGAAGAUAUACAUAAAGACAUAGACGAAGACAUACACAAAGACAUAGACGAAGACAUACACAAAGACAUAGACGAAGACAUACACAAAGACAUAGACGAAGACAUACACGAAGAUAAAAUAAUCGGCUUUGUCAGUAUAGGUAACGAUAAAAUUAUAAACAUAUGGAGUUUUAGUAGUUUAAACUUAUACCCCCCAAAAGAUGAUAAUAAAUUAAUAACAGAAAAGAGUAAUAUAGAUAGUAGUACUGGCGAA
rnacentral:lncRNA from 1 species